GGCCCUGGCCCAGUCCCCAGCCAGCGGGAGAGGGGAAGGCUCCCGCGGGCGGGCGUCGGGGAUCCUGGCGCUCCCUUGUGGACUGACCCCGAGCACGAAAAGAUUCAACUACGUCAAAAGAAGAAUAUGUCAUUUCAUAGUUUUCCAAAUGAAGUACAGCUCCAACUCUGCCAGACCACAAUCUAUUGAGAAUUGCUGUGGCUAGGACGUCCAGUACUAUAUUGGAUAAAAGUGGAAUCUCUCAUUAUCCUCUUCUUGGCCAAAAGACAAGAUAGAAUUUCUGGUUCACUGUUUCUUAUGCUGAUACUGCAGGGAUGGAAAAACCACCAUCUCUGACAACUUAAAUUCUCAUUUCCUUGUAUUCAUCACAUUUACCUGCUGAAUCAGAAUCUGGUGGAAGGAGAGGGUGCCCAGAGAUGUGCAAGUUUCACAAAUUCUCCAGCUCCUGUGUUUCUGUUUCUCUGAAUUUGACUUCUCUA